GCUGGGACGGUGAAGGGAAGCC
rnacentral:miRNA from 1 species